CGUGAGACUUUUGUCAGCUCUAAGUAUCCACGAGGCUAUCAGGAAAGCCAAAGGAAGCCAGUAGAAUAUACAAAGGAACACAUAGAAGGGAGCAUACCACAUUUAUCUUGCAUAUCCUGUGCCACAUCAAGCAACUGAAGCCUGAGAAAGUAGAGGCUUAGUUCAUCUUGGAAGGAACCAGGCAAAGAGCCAAAGAGGAAGCCCUCUGUGAAGAAAAGGCAACAAGGCCCCAGUGCUCUCCAGCUUGCUAGCAAGAAUCUCACACCGGGAGGUGACAAGAAGAUACUGGAAAACCACAGGCGGUGCAGCCAAAGAGCUCAUUCCCCCCAAAAAUGCUCUAGUCCCCCUCGAUUGUCUGCCAUUUCCCCCAUGUUGUGUGUUUAAGUUACUUAAACGCUUGGUGUCUCCCUUUAUCUGUGAGUUGCUGAUAACCAUUAUAUUUACAUUUGUAAGCUCAUCUCGAAAUCAGGUGACAUAAAGCACAAAAUGUCCCCGGCACGCUCCCUACCAAUACCGAGUAGCUCUUAUGAUUAUUAAAAGCGACACGUAACAGCAACGUGAA